rnacentral:rRNA from 1 species
CCUACGGGUGGCAGCAGUGAGGAAUCUUGGUCAAUGGACGAGAGUCUGAACCAGCCAAGUAGCGUGAAGGAUGACUGCCCUAGGGGUUGUAAACUUCUUUUAUAAAGGAAUAAAACGAGGCACGUGUGCGUUUUUGCAUGUACUGUAUCAAUAAGGAACGGCUAACUCCGUGCCAGCAGCCGCGGUAAUACGGAGGAUGCGAGCGUUAUCCGGAUGUAUUGGGUUUAAAGGGAGCGUAGGUGGGUUGUUAAGUCAGAUGUGAAAGUUUGCGGCUCAACCGAAGAAGUGCAAUGGAUACUGGCAGUCUUGAGUGCAGUAGAGGUCGGCGGAAUUCGUGGUGUAGCGGUGAAAUGCGUAGAUAUCUCGAAGAACCCCGAUUGCGAAGGCAGCUUACUAGUCUGUGACUGACGUUGAUGCUCGAAAGUAUGGGUAUCGAACAGGAUUAGAUACCCGGGUAGUC